rnacentral:rRNA from 1 species
AAGUAAAAGUUGUAACAAGGUUUCCGUAGGUGAACCUGCGGAAGGAUCAUUAAAAAAAAA